GUAAAUUAAUAAAAUAAUAACAUUUUAAAUAAUACAAUGAUCUAUGAUGACUUUAUUCAGACUAGUGCGAAUUCAUUUGGCGAGCAGAAGACGGAAUAAUUAGACAUGCCGCUAAUCACUGACAAGCAAUUCUAAUGCGCGCCUUUUUAAUUGUGAUAUAAUUUAGUUGUGAUUUGUGUGCUAUUCCCGCAAAUUGUUAACAAAUAUAUCAUUUCUAUAAAUGCUCCUUUUGGGACGUUACUAUUUUCUUAUCAACAAGAGAACUAACACAUUUCUGCCUUUCUUGUCUCUUUCCUGUUAAUAAUUUGUUUCGCGUUUAACUCAAAAAACUAAUAUCCAAAUAUAUUAAAAACAACUGAUUAUAUUGGAGCGGAGAAAAAUUUCAAAGAUAUGUAAUGACUGAAAAACAGUAGUGUUAGUGCUUCAAAACAACUUGAAGAAAAACAGAUAAAUCUGCCAGUUCUGGAGGAUUUUUUGAUGAAAAAAAGGUUUACUAAUCAAAAUACCCUGGAUCAACUACUGCAACAAUUAAUUAAAGUGUUAAUUUACCAUUUAGAAUAAUUGUAAAUCUUGUUUUAAAGGAUAUAAUUGAAUGAGGUUUCCCCAACAGAAAACUUAUGUCUCGGCCUACUUUAAUGAAAAGUAUUGAGAAAGACUUUCAUAAAUUAUCCUUCAAAAUGAAAUCUGAAAUGUUUAAAUGUUAUCAUAUUGUUGCGACUACAGAUUUUUAAAAAGUAAUAAAUUUUUUUAGAUUGUACAUUGGAAUAACAGUCACAUGGAUCAAUGAGGAUUUAUUACUAACACUAAGAAGACUAGAAGAGUCACAUACAUGUAAUAACUUAGCUAAAGCAAUAGAUGAAGUAUACACACAGUUUACAUUUCAGAUAAAUUAUGUUAUUGUACUACAUAUAACAUUUUAAUUUCCUAAAAUGUUUUGAAACAUUGAUCAUGUACUUGAUUAUGAAAAAUUGAAAUUUCUAAUCAGUUGCUUGUGUACAAUUUAGUAGAAGAAGAUGAUGAAAUAGAAUAAAUUGAUGUCAUCAAUUUUAGCAUUCUAAAUAAUAAAGAUUAGAUUCUCAGUAUUUGUUAUCCAAAUAACUCAAAAAUGUAAAUGUUACCCAAAAUCACCGAUGUUGUAAACACACAAUUUGAUAACAACAGUGGUAAAUAAAAAUUAAUAUAAGAAUAUAACCAUCCAUUGUAUAUUUAAAAAGUAACAUUUUAUAUCAAAUAUUUGAUUUGUUUAAUUAACAAUUUCUGUAUAGGACUCCUAUAUAGCUUUGUCUAAUUUUACUUUAAAAAAAACAGUCCAGAAUCACUUUUGCCAAGUCAACUGCUUUGCAGAACAAACAAGGGUGCUCGACCAAGUUAGCUAAUUUAAUCAAACAAAAUAUUGGCGUUUAAUUAAUAACUCCCAACGAGACAUGUUGGAAUUCAUCGUAUGAUGCAGUGGUGUUGCUUAAUAAAUUAAUUAAAAAUAAUGAACUUAAAUUUAGAAUUAGUAUGGAUGAAUUAUCUAUUAUGAAAUUUAAUAGAUGUGACAUUGUAUUUUUAAAUCAAUGUCAAAAAAUAAUAGGAACAAUUUCAAUAAGCCUUGAUUUACUAUAAGGAGAUAUUAACUUAAAAUUUAACCAUCUCUCAUAUAAUGACACAAUUCCCAAUUAUAUGCAAGGUCUUGUAACUGCUAUAUUAAAUGGUAUAAAAACAAGGUUGUCUGAUUCUUUGAUGAAAAUUUUUUUAACUACUACUGUUGUCUGCCACCCACAAUUUAAAACUGUCUGGAUUAAAAAUGAAAUAAAAAAACAAAUGGGCACGAAAUUAUGACCAAAUUCAUAAUUUAUCUAGUUUCUUUAUCGGGACACAAAAUGUCCAUGGGAAAAAGUCAAUAGUUAGUCAUGAAAUUGACAGAAUAUUGGGUACAUCUACAGCAAAAACAUUAGAAUUUUUACAUAACUUACCCAAAAUUAAAAAAUUUUUCAUUAAAUACAACACUCCUCUACCAUGCAGUGCAUCAGUUGAGAUUUUGAAUUUUAAGUGUUGGUGUUGCUGCAAUCACUAAAAAUAGGACUAACAUAUCUGAUAUAUAUUUUCAAUAAAUAAUGUUUUUAAUGUGCAACCAAUAAAAUUUUUUAUUAAAAUAAAAAACUUUCAAUCAUU